ACGCUAGCUACAGGCUUAACACAUGCAAGUCGAGGGGAAACGGCAUUAAGUGCUUGCAUUUUUUGGACGUCGACCGGCGCACGGGUGAGUAACGCGUAUCCAACCUUCCCAUGACUAAGGGAUAACCUGCCGAAAGGCAGACUAAUACCUUAUGGUCUUCACUGACGGCAUCAGAUGUGAAGUAAAGAUUUAUCGGUUAUGGAUGGGGAUGCGUCUGAUUAGUUAGUUGGCGGGGUAACGGCCCACCAAGGCAACGAUCAGUAGGGGUUCUGAGAGGAAGGUCCCCCACAUUGGAACUGAGACACGGUCCAAACUCCUACGGGAGGCAGCAGUGAGGAAUAUUGGUCAAUGGGCGAGAGCCUGAACCAGCCAAGUAGCGUGCAGGAUGACGGCCCUAUGGGUUGUAAACUGCUUUUGUAUGGGGAUAAAGUCAAUCACGUGUGAUUGUUUGCAGGUACCAUACGAAUAAGGACCGGCUAAUUCCGUGCCAGCAGCCGCGGUAAUACGGAAGGUCCGGGCGUUAUCCGGAUUUAUUGGGUUUAAAGGGAGCGUAGGCUGGAGAUUAAGUGUGUUGUGAAAUGUAGACGCUCAACGUCUGACUUGCAGCGCAUACUGGUUUCCUUGAGUACGCACAACGUUGGCGGAAUUCGUCGUGUAGCGGUGAAAUGCUUAGAUAUGACGAAGAACUCCGAUUGCGAAGGCAGCUGACGGGAGCGCAACUGACGCUGAAGCUCGAAGGUGCGGGUAUCGAACAGGAUUAGAUACCCUGGUAGUCCGCACAGUAAACGAUGGAUGCCCGCUGUUGGUACGUGGUAUCAGCGGCUAAGCGAAAGCAUUAAGCAUCCCACCUGGGGAGUACGCCGGCAACGGUGAAACUCAAAGGAAUUGACGGGGGCCCGCACAAGCGGAGGAACAUGUGG
rnacentral:rRNA from 1 species